rnacentral:rRNA from 1 species
UACGGAGGGAGCUAGCGUUGUUCGGAAUUACUGGGCGUAAAGCGCGCGUAGGCGGCUUUGUAAGUUAGAGGUGAAAGCCCGGAGCUCAACUCCGGAACUGCCUUUAAAACUGCAUCGCUUGAAUCCAGGAGAGGUGAGUGGAAUUCCGAGUGUAGAGGUGAAAAUUCGUAGAUAUUCGGAAGAACACCAGUGGCGAAGGCGGCUCACUGGACUGGGUAUU